GAUGAACGCUGGCGGCGUGCCUAAUACAUGCAAGUCGAGCGAACAGACGAGGAGCUUGCUCCUCUGACGUUAGCGGCGGACGGGUGAGUAACACGUGGAUAACCUACCUAUAAGACUGGGAUAACUUCGGAAAACCGGAGCUAAUACCGGAUAAUAUAUUGAGCCGCAUGGUUCAAUAGUGAAAGACGGUUUUGCUGUCACUUAUAGAUGGAUCCGCGCCGCAUUAGCUAGUUGGUAAGGUAACGGCUUACCAAGGCAACGAUGCGUAGCCGACCUGAGAGGGUGAUCGGCCACACUGGAACUGAGACACGGUCCAGACUCCUACGGGAGGCAGCAGUAGGGAAUCUUCCGCAAUGGGCGAAAGCUUGACGGAGCAACGCCGCGUGAGUGAUGAAGGUCUUCGGAUCGUAAAACUCUGUUAUUAGGGAAGAACAAAUGUGUAAGUAACUAUGCACGUCUUGACGGUACCUAAUCAGAAAGCCACGGCUAACUACGUG
rnacentral:rRNA from 1 species